GACGAACGCUGGCGGCGUGCCUAAUACAUGCAAGUCGAACGCUUUUUCUUUCACCGGAGCUUGCUCCACCGAAAGAAAAAGAGUGGCGAACGGGUGAGUAACACGUGGGUAACCUGCCCAUCAGAAGGGGAUAACACUUGGAAACAGGUGCUAAUACCGUAUAACACUAUUUUCCGCAUGGAAGAAAGUUGAAAGGCGCUUUUGCGUCACUGAUGGAUGGACCCGCGGUGCAUUAGCUAGUUGGUGAGGUAACGGCUCACCAAGGCAACGAUGCAUAGCCGACCUGAGAGGGUGAUCGGCCACACUGGGAAUGAGACACGGCCCAGACUCCUACGGGAGGUAGCAGUAGGGAAUCUUCGGCAAUGGACGAAAGUCUGACCGAGCAACGCCGCGUGAGUGAAGAAGGUUUUCGGAUCGUAAAACUCUGUUGUUAGAGAAGAACAAGGAUGAGAGUAAAAUGUUCAUCCCUUGACGGUAUCUAACCAGAAAGCCACGGCUAACUACGUGCCAGCAGCCGCCGCAG
rnacentral:rRNA from 1 species